GAACCCCGGGAGGGGAGUGAAAGAGAACCUGAAACCUUAUGUUUACAAACAGUCGAAGUUUUUCGGAACGACGGCGUACUUUUUGUAGAACGGUCCGGCGAGUUGCAGUGACAUGCGAGGUUAAGGAGUACAGCUCCGGAGCCGAAGGGAAACCAAGUCUUAACUGGGCGUCUAGUAUGUUAAUGCAGACCCGAAACCGGGUGACCUAUCCAUGGGCAGGUUGAAGUUACCGUAAAAGGUAAUGGAGGACCGAACUCACAUCUGUUGAAAAAGGUGGAGAUGACCUGUGGAUAGCGGAGAAAUUCCAAUCGAACUCGGAGAUAGCUGGUUCUCCUCGAAAUAGCUUUAGGGCUAGCCUUGAGGUAAAGUCUAAUGGAGGUAAAGCACUGAUUGGACGCGGGUCCCCAAAAGGAUACCAACUUCUAUCAAACUCAGAAUGCCAUAUAGAUAUACUCAGGAGUCAGACUAUGUGAGAUAAGUUUCAUAGUCAAAAGGGAAAGAGCCCAGACCGACAGCUAAGGUCCCAAAGUGUGUGUUAAGUGGAAAAGGAUGUUAGGUUUCUAAGACAACUAGGAUGUUGGCUCAGAAGCAGCCACUCAUUUAAAGAGUGCGUAACAGCUCACUAGUCGAGAGGUCUAGCGCCGAAAAUGUCCGGGGCUAAAACACACCACCGAAGCUACGGAAUUACCUAUGGUAAUUGGUAGAGGAGCAUUCUGUAAGGAUGAAGCACAAUUGAAAGAGAGUGUGGACGAAACAGAAGAGAGAAUGCCGGAAUGAGUAGCGAGAUAUAUGUGAGAAUCAUAUAGGUCGAAUGUCUAAGGUUUCCUGGGUAAAGCUGAUCUGCUCAGGGUAAGUCGGGACCUAAGGUGAGGGCGAGAGCCGUAAUCGAUGGACAACAGGUAGAAAUUCCUGUACUACGUAUAAUCAGAACUGUGGGGACGCAGGAGGAUAGGAAAACCGGAGAAUGGAAAUAUCCGGCUAAGUACAAAGGUGUGAGUGAUAGGCAAAUCCGUCACUAUUAGCUGAAGUACGAAUGGGAGCGAAGAAAAGUAGCGAAGUUUCUGAAUCCACACUGUCAAGAAAAGCCGCUAUUGCGUUAUACGUACCCGUACCGCAAACCGACACAGGUAGACGAGGAGAAAAUCCACAGACCGACGGGAGAAGUGUUGUUAAGGAACUCGGCAAAAUGACCCCGUAACUUAGGGAUAAGGGGAGCCAACGCAAGUUGGUCACAGAAAAGAGGCUCAAGCGACUGUUUAGCAAAAACAUAGGUCUAUGCGAAACCGUAAGGUGAUGUAUAUGGGCUGACACCUGCCCGGUGCUGGAAGGUCAAAAGGAGAGGUUAGCGCAAGCGAAGCCUUGAAUUCAAGCCCCAGUAAACGGCGGCCGUAACUAUAACGGUCCUAAGGUAGCGAAAUUCCUUGUCAGGUAAGUUCUGACCCGCACGAAAGGUGUAACGAUUUGAGCACUGUCUCGACAACACGCCCGGUGAAAUUGAAGAACCAGUGAAGAUACUGGUUACCCGCAACAGGACGGAAAGACCCCAUGGAGCUUUACUGCAGCUUAAUAUUGGGAUUCGGUAUUGUAUGUACAGGAUAGGAGGGAGACUAAGAAGCUAGCACGCCAGUGUUGGUGGAGUCGAUGGUGGGAUACCUCUCUUAUAAUACUGAAUUUCUAACCUACUUCCGUGAUCCGGAAGAGGGACAUUGUUAGGCGGGCAGUUUGACUGGGGCGGUCGCCU
rnacentral:rRNA from 1 species